GAUGAACGCUAGCUACAGGCUUAACACAUGCAAGUCGAGGGGCAGCAUGGAAGAAGCUUGCUUCUUCUGAUGGCGACCGGCGCACGGGUGCGUAACGCGUAUCAAACCUGCCUCAUACUCGGGGAUAGCCUUGCGAAAGUAAGAUUAAUACCCGAUGUUGUUAUGUUACCGCAUGGUGACAUAACCAAAGAUUUAUCGGUAUGAGAUGGUGAUGCGUCCGAUUAGGUAGUAGGCGGGGUAACGGCCCACCUAGCCUUCGAUCGGUAGGGGUUCUGAGAGGAAGGUCCCCCACACUGGAACUGAGACACGGUCCAGACUCCUACGGGAGGCAGCAGUGAGGAAUAUUGGUCAAUGGACGAAAGUCUGAACCAGCCAAGUAGCGUGCAGGAUGACGGCCCUCUGGGUUGUAAACUGCUUUUAGUUGGGAAUAAAAAAGAGGACGUGUCCUC
rnacentral:rRNA from 2 species